UACGUCUUCUGAAUGCGAUUUAUGCUGCACCAACAAGGGGACCUGUUAAACAAGCUCUGUGAAACCCUGCCAACCGACACAGUUUUACGACAUAAAGUUCUUAUAAACGAGCCAUUCAGCCAGAUGCAAACACUAAUGGACUUUGACGAGGCCUUGAAUGACAAGAAGAAGGAGAUUUUGGUCCAGGAGUUCUCACGACUGGGUGUUGCCGACGCAAGGUGGGCCACAAACAUGAUACUGGCUUACUGAAUUAGUGAUGAAGGUGCGUCCCAGUUCUCAUGGGCAGGACGCAAAGGAAAGCGGAGCUUCGCUGAGAUGAAGAUCGCAAAAGCUGUUGCAGCUGCAGUGAAUCGGCUGCCGGACGGAACGACAGCUACUGUUGAGCCGCACAUCGUCAUGGCUGCACCAUGCACCCGAGCGUUUUACAGCAAAGCUUUAAAAAGGCCUCAUAAGUUCUGUAUAGAAAAUUGUCUGUCAAAAUGUGUAAGUGGAAAAAACAAUUCAAUACAAAACACCACAGAAAAUAAUUCAAUGCAAGACUCUUAAAGACAUUACAGAGAAAACAUAUCUGUACGGACCGUAUGAACAAAUUGAGCAGGUUUCUCAAGUAGGUGUCAUUACUGGGGUGUUUGUUACAUAUUGUACUUUUUUGCCACACUGUAAUAAAGGAUACUGGCAUGACAUUUCUGAUUAAUCAUUUCUGACAACACUGUAGAAACUAAAUUGAAUCUGGCUGCAUAAAGGAUAUUAUAUUAAAUUUUCUAGGGUGCUGUGAGGUUU